CCACAAAAGGAGAAAAGCGAUAAAUGUGUAUCCCACCUUGGGAGUACGAUCGCAAAGGUUGAAACUCAAAGGAUGACGGGCCCGCACAAGCGGAGAGCAUGUGUUUAAUUCGAUGAUACGCGAGGAACUUUACCCGGGAUUUGAAUUGUGCCUGACGAGGAGCCGAGAAGCUCCGUCCCUUUCGGGGCAGGUAUGAAGGUGCUGCAUGGUUGUCGUCAGCUCGUGCCGUGAGGUGUCGGCUUAAGUGCCAUAACGAGCGCAACCCUUGCUGCCAGUUGCCAUCGGGUGAUGCCGGGCACUCUGGCGGGACUGCCACCGCAAGGUGUGAGGAAGGUGGGGAUGACGUCAAAUCAGCACGGCCCUUACGUCCGGGGCUACACACGUGUUACAAUGGGGGGCACAGCGAGAAGCUUGCGGGUGACCGUUGAAAAGAUCUUGAAAAACCCCUCUCAGUUCGGACUGGAGUCUGCAACCCGACUCCACGAAGCUGGAUUCGCUAGUAAUCGAGCAUCAGCCAUGGCGCGGUGAAUACGUUCCCGGGCCUUGUACACACCGCCCGUCAAGCCAUGAAAGCCGAGGGCGCCUGAAGUCCGUAGCCGCAAGGGUCGGCCUAGGGCGAAAUCGGUAAUUGGGGCU
rnacentral:rRNA from 1 species